UGUCUUUCUCUCUAUAGUACUCUCUAUAAUGCUACGUAGGGACCUUACCACUAGUGGAAUUAGACAGGGCAGGAGGAGGCACAAAAAAAAUAAUAAAUUCUACUCCUCCUACUAAUGUCUUAAUUCCUCCAAGCUGCUCAUACCAACUUCCAAACCAACUACUUAGGUUAUACCCAUUCCAGACCUGAGUAGGUACAUGCUCAAAUUUAACCAUGUGGCUUGUAAGUUCAGCCACUGCCUGCCCUUCAUCAUCUAUGUGCAGACAACAGUUACUUAGAUUAAACUUUCCGCAUACACCUCCUUCUAC